AGCAUGGUGUCAUAGUUUGAGUGUCAGGCUAGAAUCCUGGGAGAUCAGGGUUCGAAUCCCUGCUCAGUUA